UAGACUGCAAGUCGGGAUAGGAAGGCG
rnacentral:piRNA from 1 species